CACAUGAUGGAGUUUUCCUACUGCAAUAGUUAUCAAGCAACGAUUGGGGUAUAACACCUUUGGAAGCUCCUUAUAGAAGAAGGUGAAAGUCCUCUAUUUAUUAGGACGAGGAGAACACAAGUUGUUGGAACUUAAGUUGGUCAAAGUCAAGAAUGAAUCAAUCCAAAGGAUUAGAGCUAGGAUGCAAAUUGCACAAGUAGGCAAAAGAGUUGCACAGACAAAAGGCAAAGGGAUUUGAAUCUUGCAGUUGGUGGGCAUAUGUUCCUAAAGGUAGCUCCAAUGAAAGGAGCGUUGAGGUUGGGAAGGAAGUGGAAGCUAAGCUCAUGAUUUGUUAGGUUUCUUGAUAUCUUGGAAUGGAUCGGCCUUGUGGGUUAUCAUUUAGCUUUGUCGUUACCUCUUGCUAUAGUCCAUGAUGUAUUCCAUGUUUCCAUAUUGCAUAAGUAUAUGGAAAAUUCAUCCCAUGUAAUUGAUUGAGAACCACAAUGCUCGGAUGAGAGUUUGAGUCAUGUGAAAAGGUCCAUACAGAUUCUUGCAAGAGAUCAGAAGGUUCUACUUAACCGAUUGAUAGCCCUAGUCAAAGUCAUUUGGUAGAGCCACCAGUUCGAAGAAGCGAGUUGGGAGUGAGAGGACAAAAUGAGAGGCAACUAUUGAGAGCUUUUUUAAGGAUUGAGAACUUUCAAAGACGAAACUUCAUAAGGGGGGACGAAUGUAAUGUACAUGGAAAAGAAAAAGAAAAAAGAAAAAAAAAAAAAAGCUUAUUUAAGUCGUACAUAAUCCUAGGAGUCGGUUCAGUUUCAUCCCCAACUUGGCAGCACAACUCCCUGCCUCAACUCUCUCUUACUUGCCCGAUCUCUUUCGUGUUUGGCUGGUUUAGGUCAAGCGAGGGAUCAUCCACUCUCAGACGCACUUUCGCCUGCACCAUCGUCCUCUCAUUUUUGCUUCUUAUUCGUUCUGACAGUUUUUCAAUGUUGAUUGGUUGGAAGUUGCAGUUUAGGUGAGUUUUCUUGUUUUUGUUAGAUUCAUGUGAUUUUGUUGGUAUUUUAAGCAUAACUUACGAAUUUUUGGGUCCCAUUAUAGGAAAUGCACAACAUUUGGACACUUGAACAACAUUGGUGGUUAGUUGAAGAGAAACCAGCAAGGAUUCAAACUCUUUCAAGGUUGUCCCGUCCCACACAUGCACCACAGUUUGUACCAUUUAGGAAUAGAUGGUGCAUAAAUCUACAAGGGGUGUGGCAAUGACAUCCAGUCUAAAGGCCAUGGUGAGGGACAAGCUAAACAUCAUGUUACUUGCACAUGCUCAGCGUUGCAGUAAACCACUCUCAACGCUUACAACAUGCGCGCUAAAAAAAUUUCAUUAAUAGCGUCUCAAUGCCACUUCCAAUAAUAGUUGGCUUGUGUAUGCUUUAUGGUUUUUUCAAAUAUUACUUGCAUGAUAGACUCUAGAAUAAAAGAAACAAAAUUAAUUAGGGGUAAACAUCUCACAUAUUCAAAUUUGUUUGUGUACCCUCCCCUGCU